rnacentral:rRNA from 1 species
AGCAGCCGCGGUAAUUCCAGCUCCAAUAGCGUAUAUUAAAGUUGUUGCAGUUAAAAAGCUCGUAGUUGAAUUUCGGGGUUAGUAGGUUGGUCAUGCCUCUGGUAUGUACUGGUCUCACUGAUUCCUCCUUCCUGACGAACCUUAAUGCCAUUAAUUUGGUGUUUUGGGGAAUUUGGACUGUUACUUUGAAAAAAUUAGAGUGUUUAAAGCAAGCUAACGCUUGAAUACAUUAGCAUGGAAUAAUGAAAUAGGACGUUCGAUCCUAUUUUGUUGGUUUCUAGGAUUGACGUAAUGAUUAAUAGGGAUAGUUGGGGGCAUUAGUAUUCAAUUGUCAGAGGUGAAAUUCUUGGAUUUAUUGAAGACUAACUACUGCGAAAGCAUUUGCCAAGGAUGUUUUCAUUAAUCAAGAACGAAAGUUAGGGGAUCGAAGACGAUCAGAUACCGUCGUAGUCUUAACCAUAAACUAUGCCGACUAGGGAUCGGAUGAUGUUAAUUUUUAAUGACUCAUUCGGCGCCUU